rnacentral:rRNA from 1 species
GACGAACGCUGGCGGCGUGCUUAACACAUGCAAGUCGGACGAGACCCCUUCUUCGGGAGGGUGUUCUAGUGGCGAACGGGUGAGUAACACGUGGGCAACCUGCCCUCAGCUCUGGGAUAACUCCAAGAAAUUGGGGCUAAUACCGGAUAUGACUGCUGACCGCGUGGUCUGGUGGUGGAAAGAUUUAUCGGCUGGGGAUGGGCCCGCGGCCUAUCAGCUUGUUGGGUGGGGUAGNGGCCUACCAAGGCUUCGACGGGUAGCCGGCCUGAGAGGGCGACCGGCCACACUGGGACUGAGAUACGGCCCAGACUCCUACGGGAGGCAGCAGUGGGGAAUAUUGCACAAUGGGCGAAAGCCUGAUGCAGCAACGCC